rnacentral:sRNA from 1 species
UGAAGAUAUGGCGGCGUCUGCGUCUGCGGCUGCAGGGGAGGAGGACUGGGUCCUUCCCUCUGAAGUUGAAGUGUUGGAGUCCAUCUAUCUAGAUGAACUACAGGUGAUUAAAGGAAAUGGCAGGUAUGUAUUCAACCAGUGGUGGGCAGGAGUCCCCCUAGUAAUGAGGAGAGGUUCUAUGCUGAAUCUGGGUCUUAAGACAUUGUGAGCCUUGAUUCAGAGAUAAUAUUUCUCUUGUGUAGACAAAAGCUAUUCCUUUAAUCCUACCCCAAAAGAAAGAGUCCAAUGUGUACUUCCUUUGCCCACUUUACUGUCUCAGCCCCAUCCUCCCCAGCCCCCAAGCCCCUACCCAGUCACAUCUGCGUGUCCACUUGAUCCACCUGCAGAACUUCACCAUGGGAAAUCUACAUCACUUUGCAUCCUGCCACUGCAGAGGACCAGGAUUCACAGUAUGUCUGCUUCACUCUGGUGCUUCAGGUCCCAGCAGAGGUGAAGCCCCUACUGUGUGGCAGCAAAGGGAGGAAGGGGAGAGUCCCUGGGGUGGAUCACUUCAGCAGUAACUUGUUAUUUGCCCCCACUAGUAUCCCCAUGAGGUGCCACAGAUCUCUAUCCGAAAUCCCCGAGGACUUUCAGAUGAACAGAUCCACACGAUCUUACAGGUGCUGGGCCAUGUGGCCAAGGCUGGGCUGGGCACUGCCAUGCUGUAUGAACUCAUUGAGAAAGGGAAGGAAAUUCUCACAGAUAACAACAUCCCUCAUGGCCAGUGUGUCAUCUGCCUCUAUGGUUUCCAGGAGAAGGAGGCCUUUACCAAAACACCCUGUUACCACUACUUCCACUGCCACUGCCUUGCUCGGUACAUCCAGCACAUGGAGCAAGAGCUGAAGGCACAAGGACAGGAGCAGGAACAGGAACGGCAGCAUGCUGCAACCAAACAGAAGGCAGUCGGUGUGCAGUGUCCAGUGUGCAGAGAGCCCCUCGUGUAUGAUCUUGCCUCACUGAAAGCAGCCCCUGAACCCCAACAGCCCAUGGAGCUGUACCAGCCCAGUGUGGAGAGCUUGCGCCAGCAAGAAGAACGCAAGCGGCUCUACCAGAGGCAGCAGGAGCGGGGGGGAAUCAUUGACCUUGAGGCUGAGCGAAACCGAUACUUCAUCAGCCUUCAGCAGCCUCCUGCCCCUGCGGAACCUGAGUCAGCUGUAGAUGUCUCCAAAGGAUCCCAACCACCCAGCACCCUUGCAGCAGAACUAUCCACCUCACCAGCCGUCCAAUCCACUUUGCCACCUCCUCUGCCUGUGGCGACCCAGUACAUAUGUGAGAAGAUUCCAGGGGCCAGGUCAAAUCAGCAAAGGUUGGGCGAAACCCAGAAAGCUAUGCUAGAUCCCCCCAAGCCCAGUCGAGGUCCCUGGCGACAGCCCGAACGGAGGCACCCGAAGGGAGGGGAGUGCCACGCCCCUAAAGGUACCCGUGACACCCAGGAACUGCCACCUCCUGAGAGGCCCCUCAAGGAGCCCAUGGACCUAAAGCCAGAACCCCAUAGCCAAGGAGUUGAAGGUCCUCCACAAGAGAAGGGGCCUGGCAGCUGGCAGGGGCCCCCACCCCGCAGGACUCGGGACUGUGUUCGCUGGGAGCGCUCUAAAGGCCGGACACCCGGUUCUUCCUACCCUCACCUGCCUCGGGGCCAGGGAGCAUACCGGCCUGGUACUCGGAGGGAGUCCCUGGGCCUGGAAUCUGAGGAUGGUUCCUAGCAGGACUUGGUGGGGGGAACAGGGAAUUGGGGAUGGGAGGGGGGCAAUAAAGAUAUUUGGCCUUC